rnacentral:misc_RNA from 1 species
GAAAUGCGAUAAGUAAUGUGAAUUGCAAUUCCGUGAAUCAUUAAAUCUUUGAACGCACAUUGCGCUCUCUGGUACUCCGGAGAGCAUGUCUGUUUGAGAAUCAGUUUAACUCUCACUUCUUUGCUUGGUUUAACGACCUUGCCGAGUCGGUGGACUUGGGCGGCUCGACUACCUUUGGGUAGAUGACCACCUUGAAUUGAAUUUUCUGCUUGAAAUUCCAUAACUCGAAAGAGCUAGAAGGCAUGACCAAUGGACUGGCAACAGUUCUUAACGAUUGCUGAUAAUGGCCCGACUAGAGUUGCUAAGUGGUUUUAAGGGCAGAAGUAAAGCACUUGACGAGAAUCUCGCGAUUCUUAAGACUUUGAUCUCAAAUCAGAUAAGACUACCCGCUGAACUUAA